GCCUGGGUGGCUGAGUCGGUUAAGCGUCAGACUUAAGAUCUCAAGGUUCGUGGGUUCGAGCCCCGCGUCGGGCU